rnacentral:rRNA from 1 species
UACGUAGGGCGCAAGCGUUGUCCGGAAUUAUUGGGCGUAAAGAGCUCGUAGGCGGUUUGUCGCGUCUGCCGUGAAAGUCCGGGGCUUAACCCCGGAUCUGCGGUGGGUACGGGCAGACUAGAGUGAUGUAGGGGAGACUGGAAUUCCUGGUGUAGCGGUGAAAUGCGCAGAUAUCAGGAGGAACACCGAUGGCGAAGGCAGGUCUCUGGGCAUUAACUGACGCUGAGGAGCGAAAGCAUGGGGAGCGAACAGG